GAAGAUCUGAGUAGUAUCUGCUCAAGCAUUUUCCAUUGAUUCUGCGACAUGCUUCUGCAAUGGUGAGAGCUGCAUCAGUAACAUGUUUUGCGGGCAUAACUUCCUCUGUAUUCUUCUCUCUUGCGAAGGAGAAACAGGAUUUCAUUCUUUCUGCUGCGAUUAAUGCAGCCAAACAAGACGAGGUGCCUUCAGUUAGAUCAGCUUCUUGUCGAGCCAUUGGUGUCAUUUCAUGUUUUCCUGAAGUUU